CCUACGGGGAGCUGCAGUGAGGAAUAUUGGUCAAUGGACGCAAGUCUGAACCAGCCAUGCCGCGUGCAGGAAGACGGCUCUAUGAGUUGUAAACUGCUUUUGUACGAGGGUAAACUCAGAUACGCGUAUCUUUCUGAAAGUAUCGUACGAAUAAGGAUCGGCUAACUCCGUGCUAGCAGCCGCGGUAAUACGGAGGAUUCAAGCGUUAUCCGGAUUUAUUGGGUUUAAAGGGUGCGUAGGCGGUCGGAUAAGUUAGCGGUGAAAUCCCGAGGCUCAAAUUCGGAAUUGCCUCUGAUACUGUUCGGCUAGAGAGUAGUUGCGGUAGGCGGAAUGUAUGGUGUAGCGGUGAAAUGCUUAGAGAUCAUACAGAACACCGAUUGCGAAGGCAGCUUACCAAGCUACUUCUGACGUUGAGGCACGAAAGCGUGGGGAGCAAACAGGAUUAGAUACCCGAGUAGUC
rnacentral:rRNA from 1 species